rnacentral:lncRNA from 1 species
CUUCCUUGCAUCAUUUUUUUUCCUUGUGCCAUAACUUAGCAAUGAUUGUUUUAUGUUCCACGCUGUUGUUUAUUUCUUAGCGUGCACCUUUCGGCGUUGCAUCUUGUGUUUUCAGUAUCCUUGUGCAAAAGUCAUGUACAUUAAAGAUUGACUUUGUGGUCAUGAAAAUUAGCUGCUAGAGCUUCCUCCCCUUUGUAUGUGAUUGAGAUAAAAGCUAAA